ACUUUUUGAGCCCCGUAAUUGGAAUGAGUACACUUUAAAUCCGUUAACAAGUAUCUAUUGGAGGGCAAGUCUGGUGCCAGCAGCCGCGGUAAUUCCAGCUCCAAUAGCGUAUAUUAAUGUUGCUGCAGUUAAAAAGCUCGUAGUUGGAUCUGAGGACUCGAAUUGGUGGUGCACCCAUACGGUGUUACUGCCCGAUUCGGCCUACCUAGUCGGUGCUCGCUCUUGGUGUUCUUAAUUGAAUGCCCUGAGUGCCCGGCAAGUUUACUUUGAAAAAAUUAGAGUGCUCAAAGCAGGCCAUUAGCCGGAAUACUUCAGCAUGGAAUAAUGGAAUAGGACUUCGGUUCUAUUUUGUUGGUUUUCGGAACCCGAGGUAAUGAUUAAGAGAGACAGACGGGGGCAUUCGUACUGCGGUGUUAGAGGUGAAAUUCUUGGAUCGCCGCAAGACGAAACAACUGCGAAAGCAUUUGCCAAGAAUGUUUUCAUUAAUCAAGAAACGAAAGUCAGAGGUUCGAAGACGAUCAGAUACCGUCCUAGUUCUGACCAUAAACGAUGCCAACUGGCGAUCCGAGAUCGUUUGCUUAUUUGACCUCUCGGGCAGCCUCCGGGAAACCAAAGUUUUUAGGUUCCGGGGGAAGUAUGGUUGCAAAGCUGGAACUGGCAAAAAUUGAACGGCAAGUGCACAACCAAGUGGUGGAAGGCCCUUGCGGCUUUAAAUUUGACUCAAACCCGGAGUAAGAUAUUUACUUCACUUGUGUGUCGUUAACUGUUCUCCAUAACGAAUCAGGACACUCCAGGAUCAGCUCCCCUAUGAGUGUUAGCAAAGUUCAAAUUCAAGAAUUAUUUGAUUGUCCAUGAGACAGUUAGAAUUGAAGAGCAAUUACAAAAUUUGUAUUAUGCUAUGAUAUUCCUAAUGGUAGGUUUUAACCCUUCUAAAUUGCGGCAGUGGCCUGACUUUGAGUGUAACAGGGUAAUCUGGUUAGAAAAUGUUUAAAGUCACUGAGACCCAGUUGGCCUUAAGUCUAAAUUUCCCCCACGAACCUAUUGGCUUACUCAGCGACUAUAUGUUCAGAGCCGCUGGGCGAUUAGAUAAAUUCUUGCAGGCUAUCAACGAUCGAAAUCCUUUGACCUAAGGCUUCCUACUGCACAUGGCGGUACUGGUGCUUGAAGGCGGCUCCAGGUUACGAUGAUCCAAGACAAAAGAAAGUCUAAUUAAAAAAAAUACUCUCAUCACCUGUUAAGCCUAAAAGACUUUGAACCAAAAAAUCCGUGUGUGGAAAGGCAAGAAACUGCCUACGUAGGUACCAAAAGCUGCCCGUACGACCUUUAUCUGGCUCCAUUACCCGGUUUAUUGAGGAUUAUCUGGGCAAGUGUCUUGGUCGACCACGGCUGGAAUUUCGCGAAAGGCCACAAAAAGGAUCAAGGGAAUUUUAGGGUAAUAGAAAGGAAUCAAGAACUGUUACACAAAGGAAAAUAAGAAUUUAUCGCGGUUAAAGGCGCAAAAAUUGAGGGAAGUCGCUUUUCUUUGAUCAGAAGCUGCUCGUUCCAAGUCUCAUCGGCUGUCGUGGUGGGAAAUCACUGCGAUUUCAGCUGCCGUUAAGCCACGGAAGGGCCGGAGUAAACGUGAACGCUCGGCUGCUGGGACAUCUAAGCGCUUUUCGUAGCAAGGAUUAGGGUCAUUAUAUGAGCCUACGGGGUGAACCUAAGGAAUAUUGACGGGCCAAGGGCACCACCAGGAGUGGAGCGCGCUGGCGCUUAAUUGACUCCCACGGCGGAAAGACUCACGUACCGGAAUUAGGACAAGCAGGGACAAUUGAGAGCUCUUUCUUGAUUUCGCGUGGGUGUGGUGCAUGGCCCUUUGGCUCUUUAGUUGCCCGUGGAGCGAUUUGUCUGGUUAAUCCGUAUACGAACGACUCUCUAGCCUGCUAAAUAGUACGCCGAAUUUGCGUGCACUGACUAGACGGACAAUUUGCAAAAUUUGACCAAUAAAGGUACUGUGACAGUGCGCCUUAGAGUUCGCGCACGGCGAGCAGAAACAAGGUCUUUUUUCCUGGUUCGAAGAGCGCGGGUAAUCUGUUGAAUUCCCUUCGUGACAGGAUUCCGGGUUGCAAUUAUUCCCGGUGAACGGGAAUUCCCUUCCCAGUAAGACGCUCAUUACCCUGACCUACUUGAGCCGAACCGGUAACUGCCCUUAGAGAUUGUUGACGCCGCCAAGGUCCUCCGGAUUGGUUUGCACCCGAUGGGCGACUCUCUUGGCCGACUUGGUGCAACACUAGGUCGGAUACUGAAAAGAAGAUCAAACUUGAUCAUUUAGAGGAAGUAAAAGUCGUAACAAAGGUUUCCGUAGGUGAACCUGCGGAAGAUCAUUA
rfam:Macrostomum lignano unitig_47682, whole genome shotgun sequence.